AGUUAACUAAGUCGCAUAAAUAUGCGUCUAUCAAAUUCCCCCACACUUAGCUUUUGCUAGUCCUCGAGCAAAAUAAAACAAACAAAACAUAACCUAACCUUCCAACAUUUGCUACAGGGAUUUCCAACGAUACAUAACAUGCCAUAGAUCAUUAUUCCCACAGAUUUUAGUCAUCCCUACUCUUGCGCAUAUACUUAAUCAUAGUUACCAUUCACUAGCUCACAUUUAAUCGUUUAAAACAACAUUAUGGACGUAGUAACAUGCCUUAGAGAAUCCACUCAAUUCCUUACUGGAUACACUCUUAUUUUCACACAGAUUUUCUAACUACUCUCCCUAUACUAAGUAUAUGUGAGAAGAUUGAUGUAAACAUGGAAACGAACACUCACACAUGUUAUAAAAGAAGCAAUUUUCUGGAAUGAUUAAGCAUUUAUAGAUAUGAUCUCAUGAAUGGAACGCUACUACUUAGAGAUGCGAGAACCAGGGACACCAUAUGCUCAAACCAAUCCCAAACUCCACAUAUUGAAAUACAUAACACUCAAGAUAGAAGUUAAGGGUUGUAACGGGGCUUGGGGAAUGGUUAACAAAGAAAGGAUAGGGAAAACAAACGUUCUUCAAGCAUUAGUAAGCAAAGUAGUAAAUUUGAGACUUAGAAUUCACUUAGAUUGCAGAAAUUAACUUUAAAACACAAAGGGAAGAUUUAAACAACUUCUUAGGGCCGAAUUCAUUGUUUUGGACCCUUUCUUCAACAAACAAUAUUUUGGAACUCUUUUUUUUUUUUUUUUUUUUUUUUUUACUCGUGCCUAUGGCACACAAACUCACAUGAUAAACACUUCCCCCACACUUAUUUUCUGCCCACAUUAAUCAAAAGGAAUUCAAUUUGAAUCAUGCUUACUAUACUUUAAGAACGAGGGUAUGGAUAGUCCUAAUCUAGGCUAGGUGAGGAUGAUGUGGGUUAACAAAGAAAAGGCUAAACAAGGUUCAAUGGGGUUAAAUUUAAACACAUAAUGAAAUAGGAUACACGAAAAUUUGGCUUUGGUGGUGGUCACUACACAACUUCAUCUUGAAUAUGUGUUAUGCAAAUCAAUAGCAUGCUUUGAAUGAAAUGGGCAUGAGUUCUAGCAUUUGGAACUACAUGAUAAAACGCCUUCUAAGUAGUAACCAAUCAAAUAAUAAUGAGAUCAUGCAACGACUUUAGAAGACAACAAAUGCACAGAUUAUUAACUCUCCAAAGAACGUUAAAAGCUCAAGUCUCUCAGGGUUGUAGCGUUAGUUUGAGUUUCUUCCUUCAAGCAUGUUACAAAAACUAAUUUUUCUUUUGACUACAUGUGAAUUCAUGAACUAUAAUUACAACUAAGCAUAAACCAAAGAGCAUGUCAAACUUUCAUCCAUGUUUGUAACUUACUUCAACAGUUAUGCAAUUACAAACCGAAUCCUCAUUAUUGUGUUGGAAGGUACCCUAAGACGCAAACAAACACACAAAAACAACCCUUUUUGGGUUUUUAAAACAAAUUUUUCAAAUUUUUAUGUGAUUUUCGGAUUUUUACUUCAAAACACACUAAAACACAUCAAAACAACUUAAAAACACUUAAAAACAGCAAGGAACAAGUCUUUAAGUUAAGGGUGAUAAAAUCCCACGAAUUUGCAUCAAAAACACUUAGUUACCCCCCCACACUUAAAUCAAACAUUGUCCUCAAUGUUUCAAGCAUAAAAUCACACUAAACAAAAAGAAACACACAAACAGCAACUACAACAACUAAAUAGGCAGAUUAGAAAGAUUCAACAAAGAGAAGGGUUUAGGAGUGCAAAUCUGGAAUUGGAGUGAUUCCUCGAGCUUCCUUUGUUGAAUUGCAUGGGUUGCCUCCCAAGUAGCGCUUGCUUUAACGUCGUACAGCCGGACGAAACUCACAAUCAUGCCCUAUGAGUUCCCCCAACAUGGAGUGGGUUUUCAUCCUCUAACUCUAUGAAUGGAAGCGGAUAGUAAUUCUCCUUGAUUGGGCCAUUGAGGAUCCUACAAUCCAUGUGAAUUCUCCCACCAUCCGGGAUAUGCUUGGGUACCUGCACCAAAGAAGGAAACCACCUAUCAACUUUAAUGGGCGUUGGAUUUGGACACACAAAUUAAACCCUCUUUUUGACAAUUGUAGUAUGGAUGUAAGUAGGGUAUCGUUCUAGGCCGGGGAUUAGGAGGGAUUGCUAAUCUAUUCUCAAUUAAUUUAAAAAUAUUAAAUAAGACUCAAGGACACAAAACUAGGCUAAAAACUCUAAUAACUCGAAACACACUUAAAAUGACUCAAAAUAAUGAAAACAAUUAAUUUAAACACUAGGAACUGAAAUGGACGGAAAUUAAAUUAAAAGACUAACAAUAAAGAAAACUAACUAAAUAAAAUAAUUUAAUAAUGGAUGGGUGUUUGGUUUUGAUGAAAAGUAAAUUAAACUUAAUUAAAUUACAGAAUUGACAAAAACAUGAAAUUAAGGUGAAAUGAUAGGUGACAGACUAGCUAGAGGGUUCUUCUCCACACAUGACACAUAUGCAACCUAAA
rnacentral:lncRNA from 1 species